GACGAACGCUGGCGGCGUGCUUAACACAUGCAAGUCGAACGCUGAAGCUUGGUGCUUGCACUGGGUGGAUGAGUGGCGAACGGGUGAGUAAUACGUGAGUAACCUGCCCUUGACUCUGGGAUAAGCCUGGGAAACUGGGUCUAAUACUGGAUAUGACAUGUCACCGCAUGGUGGUGUGUGGAAAGGGUUUUACUGGUUUUGGAUGGGCUCACGGCCUAUCAGCUUGUUGGUGGGGUAAUGGCUCACCAAGGCGACGACGGGUAGCCGGCCUGAGAGGGUGACCGGCCACACUGGGACUGAGACACGGCCCAGACUCCUACGGGAGGCAGCAGUGGGGAAUAUUGCACAAUGGGCGGAAGCCUGAUGCAGCGACGCCGCGUGAGGGAUGACGGCCUUCGGGUUGUAAACCUCUUUCAGCACGGAAGAAGCGAAAGUGACGGUACGUGCAGAAGAAGCGCCGGCUAACUACGUG
rnacentral:rRNA from 1 species